AUUUAGAAAUCUGUCAAUUUGUUCUUACAGUUUUGAUUAUUACCAUACAUAAUUUUUGGAGCUCUGGCCCCUUUAAUAUUUUUUAUUUGGUUCUCAAUCUUCUGACUUGGCUUUCCAAUAAUUCAGACAUAAAUGCCUCACAAUUACUACUUCUCUCUGUUACUGAGUCAAAUAAGCCAGAAUUGUGAAAAUAUUUUGCACAUUAGUCUGCUUCUGCACUCAAAAUAUAUGCAAGCAAGGCAGAAAAGACUCCCAAAACGCAGACGUCGACAUAAUCAACCCACAACUCAUUUUACAAAUUUUAACUCAUCAAUGUAAAGAAAGGCACAAUUUACUAUUCUUUUUCUUUCAAGGUGACGCAAAACGCGUCAUGUUUGCACCGUUUAAACUGUAGUUUCGCAGGACCACAGGUGCUACAGAUCACCUCGGUGUGUGCAGCAGCUGACAGCCUUGAACCAGCUGAAACAGCAUUAGGAGAGUCGUCUCCACUGCAGAAACGCUGAUGGUGUUUGACCAACUUGUGCAUACGCUGCACUUAAAAGCAUUUAAUGAAGAGGCAGAUGGACACAUGCUGAUGUUGGGCAGGCGGACACAUCAGCAGAGACGUAUUGAUAAAUCAGGGCCGCGCUCCUCCUCAUCCAGCCAAGACACGAGUCAGCAUGAAGAGCUGGAAGAUCAAUAGCUGCACAGCUUCAGUCAGUGAGAGGACAACCCAGAGCUGGGCGGAUCAAUUGGUCUGCUCCAGAGCUAAUUGUGUCAUUAAUUAUUGAUAGUAACAACUGACAGUUAUUGACAAAGCCUGAAACGGCUAACAUAUACGGCGUGGUCAUGUUAACAGAGUGAUGGGUUUGUGUUUUUAUUCUUCUCCGCUUUGAUUUGCUUCCCUUUGUGAUGGAAAGAAAGGUGAAGAAAUCUCAGCCUCUCUGGAGCUCUGUUGUGGAGAAAAAACCUGAAUGUUUUAUCGAGAUAACAACAGAUUGUUAAGAGAAAUGUAACGGAAAGACAACAGCUGCAGUUUCACAAUGUUUCAAUUUAUGAUUUAUGUCACUUUACAACAACGUUUGAGAAAUGUAGUAUUGGAAAGUACAGGUAGUCUACAUCAAUUUUUCCAGGUUAUUCAGUGUGCAGUUGAGACUAGACGUUUACACACUUUUGUCUCUCACUAUUUGAGGUUAAAUCAUACUAAAUGUCUCGUUUCAGGUCAGUUAGAAUCAGUUAGAAAAAUUAUUUAUAUUCGUGAAAUGCCUCAGUGAGAGAAAGAAUACGUGAGAGAUUAAUGUACAUUUUCUCAAAAUCAGAAGUUUACCUAUAUUUCCUUAGCAUUUUUAACUAUGACUUGGGUAAAACCAUUUCCACAAACAGUAUAAAUAUGAACAUUUGAAGUGGUCUAGUCAAAUAAAUUCAACUGAGGUGUUUUUUUAUUAUUAGUGACUGAAAUCAUCAUUUGAAAAUGCAAUUCCUGUUUGCAAAACAUUGUUUGAUCAUUUGUUACAUUUAAUUGUGAUAAAAUGAAGGAAAGGGAGUGAAUUUUUUCACAGCAUCACAUGAGGAAUUUAUUCUCCAGAAAAAGGAAACUAUUUUUGAAAAUUGGCAAAUAUCAAGCAUAUUUUUGGAGUGUCAAGGCAAAUACUCCAGGUGAGUUUUGUGUGAACGUACCUGAGAAUGUGACUAAGUGCAUGUCAUCCAAAACUCAAAAAUACAAAGAUCCUCAGUGAAAACGUGGUUUUUAUACAUUCUUACUUAUUUGGUGUAGAAAACGUCUUGAAAAUUGAUCAAUUCACUGGGUGUUCAUAUUAUU